GUAAUUGUAUACUUAGCUGGAGUUUGUGUCUGGUUCAUCCACUGGAAUGGCGACAACUUACAUUUCCAACAUUAUAGAUCUGAUGGGACAGUGAUAAAGUGGAACUUAUGUUCUGCCAGGGGGAUUACCUAUCUAGUGUCUGGUAUCUCAGAUACUCCAAAGAAGAUCCCCAAAAUAUGGUAAACAUGAAUACCAAAGUAAUGUCCAAGUACUGCAUCAGUCUAUACAUGC